rnacentral:rRNA from 1 species
GGUCACUGCUAUUGGGAUUCGACUAAGCCAUGCGAGUCGAGAGGGUUCGGCCCUCGGCGAACUGCUCAGUAACACGUGGAUAAUUUGCCCUUAGGUGGAGGAUAACCUCGGGAAACUGAGAAUAAUACUCCAUAGGUCUAGGAUGCUGGAAUGCACUUAGAUUGAAAGUUCCGGCGCCUAAGGAUAAGUCUGCGGACUAUCAGGUUGUAGUCAGGGUAAAGUCCUGACUAGCCUACAACGGAUACGGGUUGUGAGAGCAAUAACCCGGAGACGAUAUCUGAGACACGAUAUCGGGCCCUACGGGGCGCAGCAGGCGCGAAACCUUCACAAUGUGCGAAAGCGCGAUGAGGGGAUCCCAAGUGCUUGCUCGUAAGAGUAAGCUGUUUUUAUGUCUAAAAAGCAUAGAGAGUAAGGGCUGGGUAAGACGGGUGCCAGCCGCCGCGGUAAUACCUGCAGCUCAAGUAGUGACCGCUAUUAUUGGGCCUAAAACGUUCGUAGCCGGUUUGAUAAAUGCCUGGGUAAAUAGUGUAGCUUAACUAUACGAAUUCCGGGUAGACUGUUAAACUUGAGACCGGGAGAGGCUAGAGGUACUCCUGGGGUAGAGGUGAAAUUCUGUAAUCCUGAGGGGACCACCAGUGGCGAAGGCGUCUAGCUAGAACGGGUCUGACGGUGAGGAACGAAGCCCUGGGGCGCGAACCGGAUUAGAUACCCGGGUAGUCCAGGGUGUAAACGCUGCUUGCUUGAUGUUAGUUGGGCUCCGAGCCCAAUUAGUGUCGGAGAGAAGUUGUUAAGCAAGCUGCCUGGGAAGUACGAUCGCAAGAUUGAAACUUAAAGGAAUUGGCGGGGGAGCACAGCAACGGGUGGAGCGUGCGGUUUA